UCCAAAGUAGCUCAAUGGUAGAGCAAUCGGCUGUUAACCGAUCGGUUGUAGGUUCGAGUCCUACCUUUGGAGCCA
rnacentral:tRNA from 2 species